AAAUCAUGAUGAGGACAAAGACGUUGCAAACCCUUAAACCUCUCCCAAGCUUCAUACAAGGACUCACUAGGAUCUUGGGUGAAACUUACAAUAGCGUGAUGCACAU
rnacentral:snoRNA from 1 species